rnacentral:lncRNA from 1 species
CUGAUUUAAACACACCUCUUCCGUUGCAUUUUGCCAUUAAAGUGUAAGCUUUAGGUUGGGAAUAUUUUAAAACAUGAAAGACCUUUUCAAUUAGCGUUGACUCAAAAGCUUUUAAAAGUAAGGAAUGGUGUUUAACGCUGAGAUUUUUGAUUUUUCAUGAGUUGGUCUGUUGAUUUCUGUUAGAGUUCAUACUUACAGAGAACUGGUGUUUUUCUUGUGCCUUGUCGGCCAAGUUUUGAUGUCAUGGUUAUAUCUGCUUUGGAAUCGUUUUAUAGGCAUUAUCUGUUACGUAAAUAUAUUUGGGAGAAUUCCUCUGAGCCUGCAGUUCUUCUGAAAUUUUGAAAUUAAAAGUUGUCUCUUAAAUACAUUUCUCUCCUUAGGCCUCAGUGAGUGUUAAAUCGCCAUUUAAUAUGAUGUCAAGAAAUAAUUUGGAAGCACCUCCUUGUAAGAUGACAGAGCCAUUUAAUUUUGAGAAAAAUGAAAACAAGCUUCCACCACAUGAGUCUUUAAGAAGUCCUGGAACACUUCCUAACCACCCUAAUUUCAGGCUGAAAAGCUCAGAGAAUGGAAAUAAAAAGAACAAUUUUUUGCUUUGUGAGCAAACCAAACAAUAUUUGGCUAGUCAGGAAGACAAUUCAGUUUCUUCAAACCUGAAUGGCAUCAACGGAGAAGUAGUUGGCUCCAAAGGAGACAGGAAAAAAUUGCCAGCAGGUGAGUGAAAACCACAGGCUUCCUACUUCUUGAUUCUCAUGGUUUCUGUGACUUACCAGAAGUAUAUAUAACCACACACCAGUGGGCUAUUAGCAGAACAGGCACAUGACUACCUUACCGUAUUUGCAUUUCAUUAUUAAUUCAGAAGGAAAAACCAGAUACCAAGUGGCUACCUUUGGCUUCAUUAAUCUCAGAAAAAAUUCCUGGGGAGAGAAUGAGCUUUUUCCCCACAGAGGACUAUACUAGGAAUGUAGAAAGGAAACACUCUGGCUUUUUUAUGGGUGUUCUAAAGAUUGACCCGUAUCUUAAAAAUACUGUGCAGACUUCAUGCAUAUAUCGCAAAGAUACAGCUAAGAUUUUAACUGGUUUCACAUGAUUUAUUUUAUUCCUUUAGUUCCCGUUCUAAAAACCUCUCUUGGCUGGGUGAGGUGGCUCACGCCUGUAAUCCUAGCACUUUGGGAGGCCGAGGUGGGCAGAUCACAAGGUCAGGAGUUCGAGACCAGCUUGGCCAACAUGGUGAAACCCCAUCUCUACUAAAAAUACAAAAACUAGCCGGGCGUGGUGGCACAAGCCUGUAGUCCCAGCUACUUGAGAGGCUGAGGCAGGAGAAUCGCUUGAACCUGGGAGGCAGAGGUUGUGAUGAGCUGACAUCGUGCCACUGUACUCCAGCCUGGUGACAGAGUGAUACUCUGUCUCAAAACAAAAUAAAACAAAAUGAAAAAAAAAAAAAAAAACCUUUCUAAAGAGGUUAGGACCUGGUAGAAUUUAGCCUCUUUGAAGGUAUAUGAGUUGUGGUCUUUCAACAUGGUGAUAUAAUUCUCAGAAUGUGCGCUUGGGCCUCUGGGCUUCCCCAAAAGGUCAAAACUGUUUUCCUCACAGUAUUUGUCUUUUCUGCUAUGCCAACUUUAUACUAAUGGUGCAAAAGCAAAUUAUUAGCUCAGCUUAAGGCAGGAGCGCCAACCUGAGUUUUUCAUCGUCAUGCACUUAAAAGGAAAACCAGAAAUGCCAACUUCAGUUAAAAAUGCACUUGAUUGAGCAGUAAAAAGUAUUCUGUUAAAUCUUGACUGUUGUGUGCAGUAUUUUUAGUAUUUGUGUAAUGAAAUGGGAAUUACUCCUAACUUUUAUCUUCUGAAGUAGGAAAACCAUGUGUGCGAUUCAGUUGUAAGCUGAAGAGAAACUCUCUUCUUGGAACAUACUUUUUACUUGAAAAGAUGGACACUGGUUAUUCAGACUUACCUGGCAAGCAUUUUCUCAAAAAUUAACAAAGUGAGCCCUUUACUUCAAGGAAAACAGCUGACAUAUUUUGUCAGUGACAGAGUUCAAGCUUUCAAGCAAUUUUGGGUUUUAGGAAACUUGUGUCUGCCACUUUGAGCUUAAGGACUUCCCAAGACAGACUUUUCUGGUGAGAUGCAUGAUGAUAUUAACACAUGAAUAUUAAUAUUUUUAUUUGGAGACAGUCUCACUCUGUCACCCAAGCUGAAGUGCAAUGGCACAAUCAUGGCUUACUACGGCCUCAAACCCCUGGGCACAAACGAUCCUCCUGCCUCAGCCUCCCAAAACCCUGGGAUUAUGGGCAUGAACCACCGCACCAGGCCCUAACACAUGAAUUUUUGCUAUUGCAUAAUGAAAUGUGUCAACAAUUGGAAAUGCUGCAUAUAACUCAAUGAACCUGUCUUUUCCAAAUGACCAAUGCGUGGUAUUGCAGUCAUACAUGGGCAGGAAUCCAAAGUGCGGGAUGAUCAGUGAAUUCUAACGUAACAAUAUGAAAAGUUCCUUGAUGUGGUUUUAGAGUUCACAUUGCUUCUAACCGAGAACUGCUGCCUUAGUGAAUGGAGAAAAGUUCACAAUGAGAGGAGCACUAGUCAAGAAAAUUUUGAACAAGUUCUUUUAUUUAUAUUUUUACUUUUUUCCAAGACGGAGUCUCACUCUGUUGUCCGGGCUGGAAUGCAGUGGCACUAUCUCAGCUCACUGAAACCCCCGCCUCCCAGGUUCAAGUGGUUCUCCUACCUCAGCCUCCUGAGUAAUUGGGAUUACAAGAGUGCACCACCAUGCCCAGCUAAUUUUUGUAUUUUUAGUAGAGACGGGUUUUCACCAUGUUGGCCAGGCUGGUCUUGAACUCCUGACCUCAAGUGAUCCACCUGCCUUGGCCUCCCAAAGUGCUGGGAUUAUAGGGGUGAGCCACUGUGCCCAGCUAAGUCCUUAUUUUCUGUUGGGAAAAGUAGGAUGUUACUUAUGUUCUGGUGUAGCUAUAAGAUCAUUGUGGUAUAGCCCUGUUACUUGAAUAUCACCUACACUAUUUUUCAUUAUUAGCAAUAAAAAGUAUUAUUUGGCUUUUAUUUGAAAUUGUGUUUUUCCUCCCCAGGAAACUCGGUGUCACCACCAAGUGCUGAAAGUAAUUCACCACCCAAAGAAGUGAAUACUGUAAGUUAUUUUAUUGUGUGUGUGCUUGUUUGGGUAAAAGAUUCUAAACAUGUUUUAUUUAUUUAAUAAAGAAGUGUUCAAUUUGUAGGUAUCAUUCAAGAUCAAAUGUUUUUUCUUUUAUGUACAUUUUUUUUAAAAAGAAAACUUUCUUAGGUUAUUGUAGAUUCACAUGCAGUUGUAAGAAGUAAUGGAGAUCCUGUGUAGUCUUUCACCUAUUUCGCCCAUGUUAACAUGCUGCAAAACUAUAGUACAAUAUCACAACUGGGUUAUUGAUACACCAUCAAAAUACGGAACAUUUCCAUCACUACAAGGGUCCCUUAUAUACCUUGUUGCUUAUGUUCUGGUGUAGCCAAUCCACUUUUCCUUCUGCCCCUGCCCUCUUAAUCCAUAGCAGCCACUGAUAUGCAUAUUUCGACAAUUUUGUCAUUUUUGAGAAUAUUAUAUAAAAGGCUACAUACAAACAGUAUGUAACCUUUUGGGAUUGGCUUUUGUCAUUUCACAUAAUUAUCUGGAAAUUGAUCUAGGUUGUAUGCAUCAAUCGUUCUAUCCUUUUUAUUGCUGAGUAGUAUUCCAUGGUAUGGACAACUUGUUUAACCAUUUACCUAUUGAAGGACACCUGGGUUGUUUCCACUUUUUGGCUAUUAAAACUAAAAUUCUAUAUCCAUUUAUGUACAGAAUUUUAUAUGAACACGUUUUUAAUGCUCCAGGAUAGAUGUCCAGGGUACAAUUUCUGGGUUGAAGAUUAGUCCCAUACUUCGUUUUAUAAGAAACUGCCAAAUAUUUUCCAGAGUGAUGGUAUCAUUUUACAUUCUUACCAAGAGUGUAUGAGAGCUUCAGUUUCUCUGCAUCCUCAUCAGCAUUUGGUGGUGUAGGUAUUUUUAUUCUACCCAUUUUCAUCACAGAUGUGUAGUACUAUCUCAUUGUGGUUUAACUUGCAUUUCCCUCAUGAUUGAUGAUGAUAAACAUCUUUUCAUGUGCUUAUUUGCCAUCUGUACAUCUUUGGUGAAAUGUUUUCAUGUCUUUUGUCUAUUUUCUAAUUUUUUUUACCGUUGUUUUGAAAGUUCUUUAUAUAUUUCAGAUAUUAGUCCUUUGUCAAGUACGUGAUUUGCAAAUAUUUUUUCCUAAUCUGUAGCUUGUCUUCAUCUUAAUAAAGUCAGUUUUUCCUUAAUGGAUUGUUUUUGGUGCUUUUGGUGUCAAGUUUAAAACUGUUUGAUACUCUGGAUCCUGAAAAUGUUCAUUUUUUUCCCAAAAAAGUUUGAUAGUUUUACUUUUUUUUUUUUUGAGACGGAGUCUUGCUCUUUCGCCCAGGCUGGAGUGUAGUGGCGCGAUCUCGGCUCACUGCAACCUCUGCAUCCCAGGUUUACGCCAUUUCUCCUGCCUCAGCCUCCCGAGUAGCUGGGACUACAGUCAUGCACCCCCAUACCUGGCUAAUUUUUGUGUUUUUUAGUAGAGACGUGGUUUCACCAUGUUGAUCAGGCUGGUCCCGAACUCCUGACCUUAGGUCAUCCACCCGCCUUGGCCUCCCAAGGUGCUCGGGAUUACAGGCGUGAGCCACCGGGCCCAGCCAUUGAAGUCCUUUUAAGAUCCGUUGCAGUUUUCUACAUAGCCAAUCAUAUCAUACUGCAAAUAGGGACAGUUUUAUGUUUUCUUUUUCAAUGUGUAUGCCUUUGAUUUCCUUUCUUGCUUUAUUGCAUUUACUGUAGGAACUUUCAACACGAGGUUUGAAUCAGAGUGACAGUGGACACCUUGCCUUGUUUCUUAUCUUAGGGAGAAAGCAUUCAGUCUUUUACCAUUAACUUUAGAUGUAGGUUUUUGUAGAUGUUCUUUAUG